rfam:Myotis davidii contig34754, whole genome shotgun sequence.
UCCAAGGCUUUUUUAAAAGCCACCAUUAUUUGAGGAUAGUUCUAG